rnacentral:rRNA from 1 species
UCAAGAAUCUUCCUCAAUGGCCGAAAGGCUGAAGGAGCGACAUCGCGUGCAGGAGGAAGCCCUUCGGGUGUAAACUGCUUUUCUCUAGGAAGAAACAAUGACGGUACUAGAGGAAUAAGGGGUUGCUAAACUCGUGCCAGCAGCAGCGGUAAUACGAGUACCCCGAGCGUUAUCCGGAUUUAUUGGGCGUAAAGCGUGCGCAGACGGUUUAUAACAUCUCCUGUUAAAUCCCAAGGCUCAACCUUGGGGC